AUUUCUACUGUCUUACAUUGCUCCUAACGUAUAUCAUGAGCUCUUAAAUAUUUGUUGAAGAAAUGAACUAGCGUAUUUUGAUAACUAUAAUGUGUGAAGCCCCUGGUUGCGUCUGUUGCACACUGGAAUUAAGGGGUUAAAAACCUUUUCCCUUGCUGCUUGAGAAUCUGAUCUUUGGUUUAGCCACCUAGCUCUGUUACCCUGGAAACCAGGUAAGAGCUUAGGCAUCCACAAUAUUGCUAGGCAACACUGCUUACGGUAAAAAUGAUCCUUGGUUGGUAAACUGCAUCUGAACCAGGAAGAAAUAUGAAUGAGCUGUAAAUGUCUGAUAGGACACUUUGGCCUUCCCUGAAUGCAGUUUCUUCUUGGGAACCCUACAAACUAUAUCAAGAAUUGUUACAAGAGAUACUGGCUGCUUAAGGCAGGAGGCUUCUUCUGAGCCAGGGCAGCUCCCGUACCUCCCUGAUGUGGAGCUUAGGCUUUGUACCUGGAACUACGUCGUGUGGGGAGACAACAGUCCCCAGAAAGUCGCAGGUGCAGUCCAUCUCCAACAACAAACUGUAGCCCACGGCAAGAGGAAGGUACAAGCCUG
rnacentral:lncRNA from 1 species